AUGUUCACGUCUGCAAUCAUCAGCGAAACUCGUAGGCGUUCAGUCCCGUACAUUCAGAUCAACGUCAAUUUCUCUUUUGUCUUUAUGCGUCACGACAGAACUUCGGACCAUCAGGGCAAGGAGAAAGAGGAAAUUUUGCGCCACAACAGAACUUCGGGCCACCAAGACAAGGAGAGAGAAGAGACUCCGAGCCUAGUGAAGGUGGAUGGGAUUUCAAACCGUCAUAUAUGGAGGAAUUUGAACAGG